GACGAACGCUGGCGGCGUGCUUAACACAUGCAAGUCGAACGGAAAGGCCCUGCUUUUGUGGGGGGCUCGAGUGGCGAACGGGUGAGUAACACGUGAGUAACCUGCCCUCGACUUUGGGAUAACUUCAGGAAACUGGGGCUAAUACCGGAUAGGAGCUCCUGCUGCAUGGUGGGGGUUGGAAAGUUUCGGCGGUUGGGGAUGGACUCGCGGCGUAUCAGCUUGUUGGUGGGGUAGUGGCUUACCAAGGCUUUGCCGGGUAGCCGGCCUGAGAGGGUGAACGGCCACAUUGGGAACGGGAUGCGGCCCUGAGUCAUCCGGGAGGAAGGAGGGGGGAAUAUUGGAGAAUGGGCGGAAGCCUGAUGCAGCACCGCGGAGUGCGGGACGACGGCGUUCGGGUUGUAAACGGCUUGCGCCUGUGACGCAGCGUGGGGGAGGUAAAUGGGGAGAGAGGCCCGGCUUAACUACGU
rnacentral:rRNA from 1 species